AAAACCCGAGACGGAUAACACGAUGCUCUCUCCUCUAUCGCUUCGUGUUCACCGUUUCCUCUCCAUCCUUUCAGUUUUCUCGAUCCUCAUAUUAUAAAUAUUCGGCUUUAAGGAAUUCGGAGAAGGAAAGAAGGAGACCAUAUUGACAGACAUGCAUUUGAAGAUCUUCACAACCACAUCAAGAGCUCGGCGGUGAUCGUGACGGAGCCCGAUUUCAACGCCAAGAUCUGCCACUUCUCUGCCACUUCGGCACCGUGCAGCUCUGCGGGGAAACAGACGGAUCGAGAGAUUCCAAAGCCGUUAGAUUCGAAGGAGUGAAAGGAUACAUGUCGCCGGAUUUUCAGGCUUCGGGGGUUGCGACUCAGGAAUCAGACGUGUUCGCCUUCGGAGUCAUGAUGCUUGAGCUUCUCUCCGGCGAGGAGCCGUUGAAGUAUACGUAUGAGAAAACUGUCGGGGAUUUUGAACGGACUUUGGUGAUUGAAACCGCGAAAGCGGUGGUUGACGGCGGAGAUGGUGGUGACAUAGGGGGCGGUUGAGGAGGUGGAUGGAUCGGAGGUUGGGGGAUUCGUUUCCGGUGACGGUGGUGGAGAAGUUAAUGCGGUUGGCGUUGGAGUGCGUCGAGGAUGAGGCGGUGAACCGGCUGGAGAUGGGAAGAGUCGCCGGAAAGAUAUCGCAAUUGUAUUUGGAAUCGGAGAAAUGGUUGGCGAAUAUGAAGACUUCCUUUCCAGGUUUCAGAAGUCUCAUUUCUUUGUUAGGAUCGCAGAGUCUGGUGAGCCGCUUUGGUCAAAGAAACCUCUGUGUUGGGAGAUACAAAGCUAGAGGAAAAGCGGGAAAAAGAGACCUUGUGUUAGUGCUUUUUUAGAUAGAGGAGAGUUUGAUCUUAAUGUUGCUGGAGGUGUAGCAAGAAGUAAGGCAAAAUGUUGUGCCUUACCCAAUGGAGACACAUGAUGGGUGAAGGUCUCUUUACAAGUUUAUAUCGCUGACUGUCCCAAAGAACCAAUCAUUGAGAUACUGCAGUUUGAGAAGCAUCAAGACAUGGACCAACUUUCUGAUCAUGAACACAAUGAUCCAUAUGGGAACCUUUUGAAGUGGUUGAUACCGUUGGAUAACACUAUUUCUCAGCAACCCCGUUACCUCCUAUAAGCUCUACCCCAGAUAUCAGCAGCAGUGCACACAAGCCAUUACUCUCUUCAGGCUCAGGAUCUCAGCUCUUCUCAUUCGUCCAUUUUAGAAGCUACUCCAUGUUAGCUCUGCCGGCGCCGUGUUUAUAGUUUCUGUACGUAUGUGUUUGUGGAAGCAGUGCACACAAGCCAUUACUCUCUUCUGGCUCAGGAUCUCAGCUCUUCUCAUUCGUCCAUUUUAGAAGCUACUCCAUGUUCGCUCUGCCGGCGCCGAACACUGCACCAGUUACUGGACCCGUAAAAACUGAAAGCUCCAAACCAUCAUUUGACCUUGAAGACUGGAACUGUUACUCAGGUCAAACAUUAUGGAACGGUCACAAGUCUGGGACUGAAGAGCUCUUAUCUUUCCGGGGUGUCCCUUUGGAGCGGGAUAAAUUCUCUGUUCGUUGUGGACGUGAAGGCAUAUGCAUUCCUGGUAAGAAGAUGGAGGAAGAAACUCGAAAUCAUUCAACCUAUUGAUAUCAAUUCUUUUACAGCUGAUUGUAAUACAGAUAAACAUUUAAUAUAAAUAGUUUUAAAUUUUUAUAAUAAAUUCUAAUGUAUAUAUGUAACAUGGUCAUAUUUAAUAUAAUAUGGGUAUAUUUUGUUAA